GAUAAUAGGGCAAAGAAGAUCCUUCGUUGAUGUUCAUCCAUAUCGACGCAAUUCAUCAAGAACAAACUUGAAGAAUCAAUCAAUAUUCUAUCAUCCCCCCUCAGGUUGAGCAUGUUCAACUUGAUGGAAAGGUUCUGUAAUCAAUGCGCUGGAAUAGCUUUGGUGAAGAUAUCUCCCAGUUGAUCAUCUGUUCUGAGGCUAUGGAUACACAGAAAUAUUUGCAAUAAAAUGUUCAUGUAAAGGAAUGAUGACAUUUAGAGAUGCAUGAGUGUGAAUGGAUGCAGCAUCACAAAUGUAAUCUUGCAAGAGUAGUGGAGGGACCAACAUCAUCUUGAGUCAAUUGGGAUGGAUGCAUAGUAAAGUCAGUUGCACAGGAAAUAUGACCACAUCGGUGUGAUGGAGCAAGAGGAUAUCUACCACCAUGCUGGGGCGUAGCUUAAACAUCAGAGCCUAUAACUUCUUCAAAUCGAUGUCCCUCACGAACCUCGUCUAGAAUGUCGCGACAAUUUCCCAAUCAAUUAUUUCCAAUGGCAGUAGUAGAGUCAUUAAAAGCAUCAUGCAAUGCAGAAACAACUUUUUUUUCUCCCUCUAAUGCCAAAGCUGCCUACAUUAAGGUAUAUUACAUUACAAUAUAAUUUAAGUUACAUAAAUAAAACUAGUUGCAUGACCACUCGUCGCGCGACACAUAAUUAGUUUGGAAAAUAAAGAUUUUUUGACAAUUUUUCGAUACUUUGUUACCAUGAUGAACAACACUGCUUGAAUUGUGAG